CAAAGCUGAAUACCUUUAGGCUGCCCUAGCACCUUGCCUAUAAAGGCACCAUUACUUGAGAUUAAAGUCAGAUUUUAGAGGCAGAAAAUUUUGGAAAAACUAAAUGGCUGAGUCUUUCAAAACACUGAAAUUUAUGUGGCAUUUCUGAUGAACAUUGGUCCAGUUCUCUUUUAGUUCUAUUAUCUGAAAGUUACAAAGGAUUUCUAGGGGAAUAUUUGGGUCAAAAACUGGUGUUCAAGUCUUAUUGAUUGCCGGUUUAUGGAAUCAAGUCUGAUGUUGCUUCUCCUUAAAUUUCAACUAAUUUUUCUUAUUGUUUAUUGAUGUAAUCAGGUACUUACUCUUGAGUGAAUUCAGAUUCGAAGAAUGAAAUGAAAGAAUGGAAUUAGAGCAUUGUUUCAACUAGUGUUAUAAUUCAGUUGUACGAUAUUAUGUUUUGAUUCACUUCAUUUUCAAGCUGAUUUCUGGCUUAUGAUAACUGAACUCCAUCAUUGUAUUUGAUUUGAGGAUUGUUGCUAUAGUUGAAAGGUUCAAUUGAUUUAUGGGUGUUAGAAUUGUGUUUAAGUUCUGCUGGAAAUAAUGAAUUAAGUGUUUGGCUUCAUGUUAUUUAGGUUUGUGAUUAGUUAGUAUUCUAUUUCUGUAAGUAUGCCAUUCAUAUGUUGGUUUUGCUCAAGAGAACUGAGAAACUGUCGUUAUGACUGAGAUGUGAAUCAGUAUAGUUGUUAGGUCUAGCAAAAGUUUAAUUUGCUUGAUCCAUG
rnacentral:lncRNA from 1 species